UUGAACCUGAAAUAAAUUUUA
rnacentral:piRNA from 1 species